rnacentral:lncRNA from 1 species
UUUUUGGCGCUACAGUUGCUGCUGGAGGAUGUGGUCCGGCUGCGGGGGUCCUCACGGCGCACCGAGGCGAGGCGCUCUGGUGACAAGUAGCGGCGGACACUGCUAAAAGAGAGCACACAGGUCUUGGAAGAGGCUGGGGGUCCCGGCCUUGUGCCUUACCUGCGCCCGGAGGUCGCCUCCUUCUUGGGAGAGGAUGGGGACGUGGCAUAGCCACCCACGCGCCGCGGGGGUCCCGAGCCAUUAAGGGGCGUCCUGGUGGGAAGGCCUUUCAAGAGCUGACACACUGGAGGGAUGGGGUUAGGGGACAGAAGAGGGUGAGUAUAAGGACCAGGCCCCGGUCCUCCCCAUCCCACCCCUCCAGUCUAACGGGGAUACCCGAGGCAGUGGUGCCUAAGCGCGGAGGCGCCCGGCCCUUGGGGGUGCCCCGCGCGCGUAGCGCCGCUCCCUGUUCUUCGCAUGCCCGCAGGCGACGCAGAGCAUCCGCCAGCGCCGCCUUUAGGACCGCCAGCUCGUCUUCCUGUAACUGCAGCCGCUGCUCCAGCGCCGACACGCGGUCGUCCACUUCCAUACCGCUCGUGCCCGACAAAUUGUCAUCUGGA